ACAACGAGAGGAGGCUGGAUCGCGUGGUUGGUUAUCUUUAUCUACUCUGCAUGGGUAAAUGAAAUUUCAAACGUCUAGUUGUAUACUGACUGUUAUAAAAUUAUUGACUGUUGAUCGCUGCAAAUGCUUCAUGCAGUGAUUCUAUAUAAUACGGGAGCAUUAAAUCUAAGAAUGUUACGAAAGUGAUCUUUCUAACUUUAAUUUGUAAUCGCACUAUUAUAGUUAGUACUUGAACAUUGCUUUUCGUAGCCAGUGAAUCACAGUUGCGUAUAUGAAACAAGAUUAUUUAUAUUGUAUUACUUUGACGUCGACCCAAGUGUAUCCUCGGCUCCUUCACGCCGUUAUGCCUCGUCAACGUCCUCCCUUGUUCCCCCAGUGAACCCUCAGUGUUGUGCAUCGGCCAGGGACGCACCCGCGUGCGCCCUAGCACGCCAGUGAGCCAGUGUUAAUGUGUAAAUGUUUCUGUGUUGUAUAUAUUUCUUUCCAAAUGACCGUGACUUUUUAAGUGUGUAAAUAAUGUAACUGUAAUGUAUUAACUAUCGUGUAAUAAUCUUGUAAUUCUCGUAAACGUGUCGCAGUGUCUAUAUGUAAGCGCGCCUGGCGCUCAUCCGCGUCGCGAGGGGUGGCGCUCUCCCACGCCGGCCGAUUCCCCCUCCCCUCCCCCGCUGCCCGCGCGCGACGGCCCGCGGACGGGCGGGGGAGAGCAGUUGAACUCAGGACUCGAGCAGCGGCGGACGCGCGCUCCGCUCCGCGCUGAUCGCGAGACGGGUCUAUCGAGCUCACGGUCCGGCGACACCACCACAGCACGAGCAUUCGCAGCAGCCGCGCUGCCUACGUUGUGCCGCCCACGCGAUUGGGUGUCCGAGUUACGAGUUACGAGUUACGUCACGAGUCGGUCAUUAUAGGACGCGUUUUCAACUGUUCCCUGGCUCUGCGAAGCUCAUCCUCCACAAGAUGGCAGUGUUCCCGAUAAGCAGUGACAACCCUGUCUUGUUCCUUUUGUCGGUCCUGAAACCAGCAAAGAGCAUUAGAAGUUCAACUGAUGGAAUGGUAACGAGAAGUAGUGAAACUUAAAGGACCAAGGCUGCCCUGAUAUCGAUGAAGCUGCAGGCACCCCUUAAAACUAAGAAGAGCAUUUUAUUUCUUCGUGAAUAAUGUCUGUUUACAUAUAAUGUGUAAUAUGUAAUGUUAAUGUUGUAAUAAAAUGGUU